rnacentral:rRNA from 1 species
AGUUUGAUCCUGGCUCAGGAUGAACGCCGGCGGUGUGCCUAAUACAUGCAAGUCGUACGCACUGGCCCAACUGAUUGAUGGUGCUUGCACCUGAUUGACGAUGGAUCACCAGUGAGUGGCGGACGGGUGAGUAACACGUAGGUAACCUGCCUCGGAGCGGGGGAUAACAUUUGGAAACAGAUGCUAAUACCGCAUAACAACAAAAGCCACAUGGCUUUUGUUUGAAAGAUGGCUUUGGCUAUCACUCUGGGAUGGACCUGCGGUGCAUUAGCUAGUUGGUAAGGUAACGGCUUACCAAGGCAAUGAUGCAUAGCCGAGUUGAGAGACUGAUCGGCCACAAUGGAACUGAGACACGGUCCAUACUCCUACGGGAGGCAGCAGUAGGGAAUCUUCCACAAUGGGCGCAAGCCUGAUGGAGCAACACCGCGUGAGUGAAGAAGGGUUUCGGCUCGUAAAGCUCUGUUGUUGGAGAAGAACGUGCGUGAGAGUAACUGUUCACGCAGUGACGGUAUCCAACCAGAAAGUCACGGCUAACUACGUGCCAGCAGCCGCGGUAAUACGUAGGUGGCAAGCGUUAUCCGGAUUUAUUGGGCGUAAAGCGAGCGCAGGCGGUUGCUUAGGUCUGAUGUGAAAGCCUUCGGCUUAACCGAAGAAGUGCAUCGGAAACUGGGCGACUUGAGUGCAGAAGAGGACAGUGGAACUCCAUGUGUAGCGGUGGAAUGCGUAGAUAUAUGGAAGAACACCAGUGGCGAAGGCGGCUGUCUGGUCUGCAACUGACGCUGAGGCUCGAAAGCAUGGGUAGCGAACAGGAUUAGAUACCCUGGUAGUCCAUGCCGUAAACGAUGAGUGCUAGGUGUUGGAGGGUUUCCGCCCUUCAGUGCCGGAGCUAACGCAUUAAGCACUCCGCCUGGGGAGUACGACCGCAAGGUUGAAACUCAAAGGAAUUGACGGGGGCCCGCACAAGCGGUGGAGCAUGUGGUUUAAUUCGAAGCUACGCGAAGAACCUUACCAGGUCUUGACAUCUUGCGCUAACCUUAGAGAUAAGGCGUUCCCUUCGGGGACGCAAUGACAGGUGGUGCAUGGUCGUCGUCAGCUCGUGUCGUGAGAUGUUGGGUUAAGUCCCGCAACGAGCGCAACCCUUGUUACUAGUUGCCAGCAUUAAGUUGGGCACUCUAGUGAGACUGCCGGUGACAAACCGGAGGAAGGUGGGGACGACGUCAGAUCAUCAUGCCCCUUAUGACCUGGGCUACACACGUGCUACAAUGGACGGUACAACGAGUCGCAAGCUCGCGAGAGUAAGCUAAUCUCUUAAAGCCGUUCUCAGUUCGGACUGUAGGCUGCAACUCGCCUACACGAAGUCGGAAUCGCUAGUAAUCGCGGAUCAGCAUGCCGCGGUGAAUACGUUCCCGGGCCUUGCACUCACCGCCCGUCA